rnacentral:hammerhead_ribozyme from 1 species
AUUCAGCUGACGAGUCUCAAAUAGGACGAAACGUGCGUCUUGGAU